rnacentral:lncRNA from 1 species
AAAACUCCCGUCAAAGUGGAGUUACUUACUUCCUUGCUCUGCUCGUGUCUUCAGGGAUCAUCGUCAUCAUCGAAGGUUCAUGUCAUAAAAUGAAUCCCGAUUAGAAACUCAACGACAAAAACUCAUGCCUCAACUCAUGCUCUAUAUUAUAUUCUAUCUCCUUAACCAACUCUACAUAAACUCUUCACUCAUUUCAAAUCCUUAAGUCCAAGGAUAGGUUUCAAGAAAAUCAUGGUUCUAAGUCUCGGUUCAUCUCUCAUAUAAGACUCGUCUAAUCUCAUUCAAACACUUAGGCAACACAAUCACAUAAGGCACAUAAGAAAAUACCAUCAAACAUCAUCAAGACAUGUUCUGUUUUUACACAGACUCGACUUCAAACUUUAACACGUUCUGACUCCGACAUCCCCUGGACUCCAGACUCAUACCAAAAGAAAGGUAUUUGAGUCUAGUUUCAUUUAAAAAAAAGUAGAGUCAGAAACUCCAAGUGGUUUGGGAGAUAUGGCGUUUUGACCACGGUCUACCAUAUUCGGCAGUUUUGAGCAAUCGAAAAUUUUGAUUUUUCAAAAAUAGUAAACGUUGUCAAACUGCGCUCAAAUUUGGUGGAUAUCUAGCCCAUACAGUGAGGUUGAUACCAUAAAAAUUUGGAAAUCUAAUUCACACAGGAAGUCACUGAAAUGAAUGACUUUGUCCCCUGUUCUCUGAAAUUCCCGGCAGAAAUGUGCAGAUUUGGUUUUGCAUUUUAUAAAAAUAGUAAAUCAAGUCCAAAUGACUUGAAAUUUUACAGAGGUGCUCAAGACUCAUGUAGGGACAUUCUGUAAAAUUUUCAAAGCUUUUUGACAUCGACAAACCGUCGAUCACAGUAGGUCAGUAGCCUACGAAAAAUCACCAAAAAUUCAUUCCCAACUCUUAAAUGCUCAAAUUAACAUUCCUACAAAGCAACCACAUCAAAACUCAUUUUAAGCACUUAAAGCACUUAAAAACAUUCAAAUACAUCAAAAUACUCAUAAUACUCAAUCUUGACUCUUUUCUUUCAUCAUCCACUCAAAUCUCAAGGAAAACGUUUCUACAACGUAUCAAUCAAAUUCUCUUUUCAAUCUCAUGCUCAAAAUUUCUCAAUCAUUCAUUAUUGACCUCAUACAUCAUGUAACUCAUUUUACACAUAUAUUUCCCUUUUUAUCAUGUAAACUAACUCUAGUGAAAAACUCAUAUAUCAUCAUAAAAUUCUCAACAAAAGCAUGACAACUUCACAAAAUGAUCAUAAAUCAAUUUGACCUCAUUUUAUCAUUCGUUAACCCCACAUCAUAUGAGAACUCAAAAACUCCUUCAAACUAAACUAAGUCCAAAUUUUAAUUAGCUUACAUUAGACUUAAUCAAACAUAUUAAAACACUACUAUCAUGCUCAAUUACACAUAUCUUAAGCUAAAUCACUUAAUAGACACAUAGACAAGAAAGUCCUAAUUUUUAUUAAACUAACUCUUUGAAAUUUUUACAAAUACAUACAAAUCUCUAAUCCAUUCAUAGAUCUUUCAUUUUUAGCCAAUUAAUCUCACAUCAAAACCAUCAAUUCACAAAUAAGGGCAUAUAUACACAUAUCCCUAAUUUUUAAUAAACUAACCCACAUCAAAAACUCCAAUUGACAUCAUAUACUUAAAUUAAUCCAUCAAUCAUCAUCAUCUACACCUCAUAGACUCGUUUAUAUCAUCAAUUCAUCAUUUAACUCAUUAACUCAAAAGUUACCAUUUUUGGGGUAAACUAACUUCCAUCAAAGUUUCACAUCUCAUGACACAUAUUUCACAACAUAUAUCAAACAUCAAUACACAUCACAUAACUCUCAUUUUUCACCCCCAACCAAGAAAAGAAAAAGAAAAAUUUUGAAAGGGGUGAAGACCCAUUUUUCGAAAAUUUGGGAAAGAAAAGGGAGGGGUGAUUUUCUUGCUUCAAUCCUUCAAAUAUACUCAUAUACAAACUCAUACAAAUUAUAUCUAUGAAUAUGGAGAUCACUUACCCAAGUUUUCACCAAUUAUCCAAAUUUUCUCUCACUAUUCUUGAAACCAAUCUUCAAGGAUUCUCUUGAAUUUAAGUUAAUAGGAUGUGUUUAUGGAGGAUUUAAGUAGUGAUUUAUGUGUUUGGCAUACUUGGGUGAAGCUUCGAAGGUUUCAUCAAUGGCUAACAAUGGUGGAAAGUGAAGUGAGAGAUGAGGGAGAGGGAGAGAGAUCGAAAAUGGGGUGGAGAAGAGAGAGGAAAAUCCUUUGCAAGAUAUAGAAGGAUUUGGCUAAUCUUUGGAAAGAUUUGUGAAUCUUAGAGAAUAUUUGGCAUUAAUGCCUCUUCUCACUCUAAUCUCUUCUUUCUCUCUCAAAUCUCUACACUUUCC